rnacentral:rRNA from 1 species
GACGAACGCUGGCGGCGUGCUUAACACAUGCAAGUCGAACGGAAAGGCCCUGCUUUUGUGGGGUGCUCGAGUGGCGAACGGGUGAGUAACACGUGAGUAACCUGCCCUUGACUUUGGGAUAACUUCAGGAAACUGGGGCUAAUACCGGAUAGGAGCUCCUGCUGCAUGGUGGGGGUUGGAAAGUUUCGGCGGUUGGGGAUGGACUCGCGGCUUAUCAGCUUGUUGGUGGGGUAGUGGCUUACCAAGGCUUUGACGGGUAGCCGGCCUGAGAGGGUGACCGGCCACAUUGGGACUGAGAUACAGCCCAGACUCCUACGGGAGGCAGCAGUGGGGAAUAUUGCACAAUGGGCGGAAGCCUGAUGCAGCAACGCCGCGUGCGGGAUGACGGCCUUCGGGUUGUAAACCGCUUUCGCCUGUGACGAAGCGUGAGUGAUGGUAAUGGGUAAAGAAGCACCGGCUAACUACGUG